GCGACGUCGGCGAUCGUCGAGAAGAGCCCUUACAUCGUCCGCACCUCCUUCACCAUGUGGCAGAACACCGUUCCUGCCGCCAAGGUUGCGAAGGCAAAGGGCGCGAAGAAGGUCGCGAUCGCCGUCACCGAUUACGGUCCCGGCAUUGACGCGGAAGCUGCGUUCAAGAAGACCUUCGAGGCCGACGGCGGCACGAUCGUCAAAGCCAUGCCACCACUGACUUCAGCCCGAUCAUGCAGCGCAUCAAGAGCUCGGGCGCUGACACCAUCUU
rnacentral:misc_RNA from 1 species